rnacentral:rRNA from 1 species
CCUACGGGAGGCAGCAGUGGGGAAUUUUGGACAAUGGGCGCAAGCCUGAUCCAGCCAUGCCGCGUGCAGGAUGAAGGCCUUCGGGUUGUAAACUGCUUUUGUACGGAACGAAAAGACUCCUUCUAAUAAAGGGGGUCCAUGACGGUACCGUAAGAAUAAGCACCGGCUAACUACGUGCCAGCAGCCGCGGUAAU